AUGCAGAAAGGGUUCCCGAGAGAGGGUCGGAACGCUCCCCUUACCGGAGGGCCCUCGCCUUCCACUGGAUGGGAAGCAAACUCCGACUUCAGAGGCACGGGGUUUGGCCUGCCACCCAGAGCCUUCCUUCCCGGCGUCGCAUCUCCCAGCGGGCCCACCGCUGAUUCUGCACACCCCGACGCAGUCACCGGGGAGGCGGAGCAGGCUGGGACCAGGACAGCCAGCUCCCCGAAGUCACGUCCACAGCGCCCCGGGACGGCGGACGCUCCCCGGGUCCGCGCGGGCACGUCAGCUUCGGUGGGGGCAGGGGGCGCGCAGCCGGCAGCCUCGAGAACCAGCGACUCCGACGCGGACGCGCCAACCACUGCCGUUAACUUUGCCGCCAGCGGGACUUCCGGCGCGAGGCGGGGCGGCUGGCGGCUGGCGGCUGGCGGCUUCCGGCUUCCAGGACCCGGUCCUCCUCCCGCCGCAGCCCGCCCCUCCUCCCGGCCCCGGUCCCGGUCCCGGCCCCGGCCCCGGUCCCGGUCCCGGACCCCCUCGCCACCCCGAGGCCCCGCCCCCUGCCCGGGUCCCCCUCGCCACCCCGAGGCCCCGCCCCUGCCCGGUCCCCCUCGCCACCCCGAGGCCCCGCCCCCUGCCCGGUCCCCCUCGCCACCCCGAGGCCCCGCCUCCCGACCACUCAGGCCCCGCCCCCUGGCCCCUCCUUUCCCUCCUCCCCUCCCCCCGUUCCAUCUAAUUGUUGGAUUGUCGGCGCUGCACUCCCGCUGGAGGCCGGCAGGGGGCAGGGUUCGAGCCUGGAUUUUCUUCCGCCGGGCGUCCCCGGGGAGGCCGUCGCCGAGAGGGAGAGGGGGAGGGGGGAGGGGAGGGCGGGACGCGAGGACGCGGUUCGGUCGGCUGCUGCGCUACUUUUGGCCCCGGGUCGGCGGGGAGGCUGUGGCUGCCGCAUCAGAGCUGACGUGGGGGCGACGCGGGGCCCCGGGGGCGCCGGGCUGCCGGGCUCGCCGUCCCCACCUCCUCCCGCCCGUAAGCAGUGACGACGGCCGCUACGUAAAUCCCAUCGCGGCGGGUAAGUGGCGCGCCGGGCGGGACCCGGCACCGCGGAGCCGCCGACGGCGCAGGAGGCGGGGGCCGGGAGCGAGGCGGGGGCCGGGAGCCAGGCGGGGGCCGGGAGCCAGGCGGGGGCCGGGGCGGGGCGAGCGGCAGCCGGGGGCGCGGAGAGGGCGGCGGCGGGGAGGGCAGGGGCAGCCCGACACCGCGGCCUCCGGACGGCGGCCCGGCCGCUGA
rnacentral:lncRNA from 1 species